UCAAAUUCCAAGAUCAGAUUUUUCAAGCAUAGAAUUUUUUUUUUUCUUAGAGGGCGGACCUUAUAGCGACCAAUAAGAAUAUUCGUUUCAUGACAUUGCGUACAGUAAUAGAUUCUGUUUACUUUAUUAUUAUUACAAGGCGUCUGCUAGAGCUAGAAUCUAGUUAGUAUUUUUAAAGUUAUAAGACUGACAGUUUUGGUAUCUUGAACUGUGUUUAUUGUUCUAGUAAUCGACUUACGAGAUUGAAAUGGCCCCAGCAAUAAAAGAAAAAGCGUGGUCGUCAUUCCAAAUAGAAACUUUAGUUGAUGAGUACAUCGCAAGAAAGGGUGUUAUUCUUGGUGCCUUGAGGCCGGGCAUUACCAAGGAA